AGUCGUACGUGAAGUUCCUUCGGGAUGAGUAAAGUGGCGCACGGGUGAGUAACACGUGAGUUAUCUGCCUUUGGGUGGGGAAUACCAACCGGAAACGGUUGUUAAUACCGCAAAACGCUUGCGCUGUAAUGGCGUAUGUUAAAGCGGGGGAUCAGCAAUGACCUCGCGCCUGAAGAGGAGCUCGCGGCAGAUUAGGUAGUUGGUGAGGUAAUGGCUCACCAAGCCUGCGAUCUGUAGCCGGCCUGAGAGGGCGGUCGGCCACACUGACACUGACAUACGGGUCAGACUCCUACGGGAGGCAGCAGUCGGGAAUUUUGGGCAAUGGGCGAAAGCCUGACCCAGCAACGCCGCGUGAAGGAUGAAGCAUUUCGGUGUGUAAACUUCGCAAGAAUAGGAAGAAUAAGUUUGAACAAAUAAUUCAAACGAUGACGGUACUAUUUAUAAGCUCCGGCUAACUUCGUGCCAG
rnacentral:rRNA from 1 species